ACCAGGGUUGGCCCAAGAUUGGGCCUAUCUGGUUAUCAUGGCCAUACAUUGGACAAGCUUAGGCCAGGGUACAGCCAAGAUUUGUACAUGCUUGCAUCCCUUGAUACCUUGAUAUUUAAGCGUUUUUACCCUGGCUGCCAAGAUUACACUGAUUUAUGUAUUCACUGCAGAAAUUUUAGUUAAAUAUGCUUGUUAAACUUAAUAUAUGUUAACUAAAAUAAGUUAUCUUUUAAUAUCAUGCUCUAAUUUAAACAUAGUAUUAAUAACAAACUACGUUGCAUGUGUUAAACAUUUUGUUAAACUUUUUAAAAGUGUGUGCGCUACUGCCGCCGGCCCCUCUCGCCCAUUGUCCCUUUGUUCACAUUUCUUCACAUUCCUUCCUAUUGUUCGCAAGCCAGCAUACCCGUCCUUCGCCAUUUUUCUUAACAAAAGACUUUGUUUCCAGUCACAGUAAAACAGCUUCCUAUGGGAGAAUAAGAUGUAAGAUGUGUAAAUAGUAGUGUGGAGACCUCAGAGCAACACUUAAUUUCAUGACCAACAGUGAUAAGGCCUCCAGGUGUUGUGUGUAUCAAUCAGCCCACUGGAGAUAUAUCAAUCUUUUAAUAAAUUAUAAGGUCCCCACUGCUUGAUACUUCACCA